rnacentral:rRNA from 1 species
AUUGAACGCUGGCGGCAGGCUUAACACAUGCAAGUCGAGCGAGCGGCGGACGGGUGAGUAAUGUCUGGGAAACUGCCUGAUGGAGGGGGUUAACUACUGGAAACGGUAGCUAAUACCGCAUACCAUCGGAUGUGCCCAGAGGGGAUUAGCUAGUAGGUGGGGUAAAGGCUCACCUAGGCGACGAUCCCUAGCUGGUCUGAGAGGAUGACCAGCCACACUGGACCGGAGACACGGCCCAGACUCCGACGGGAGGCAGCAGUGGGGAAUAUUGGACAAUGGGCGCAAGCCUGAGGCAGCCAGGCCGCGUGUGUGAAGAAGGCCUUCGGGUUGUAAAGCACUUUCAGCGGGGAGGCGUUACUCACAGAAGAAGCACCGGUUAACACCGUGCCAGCAGCCGCGGUAAUAC